rnacentral:rRNA from 1 species
UACAGAGGUCUCAAGCGUUGUUCGGAUUCAUUGGGCGUAAAGGGUGUGUAGGUGGCGCGCUAAGUCGGGUGUGAAAUUUCGGAGCUUAACUCCGAAACUGCAUUUGAUACUGGCGUGCUUGAGGACUGGAGAGGAGACUGGAAUUCAUGGUGUAGCAGUGAAAUGCGUAGAGAUCAUGAGGAAGACCAGUGGCGAAGGCGGGUCUCUGGACAGUUCCUGACACUGAGACACGAAGGCCAGGGGGAGCAAAACGGGG